rnacentral:rRNA from 1 species
GAUCAACGCUGGCGGCGUGCCCAAUACAUGCAAGUCGAGCGCACAGACGAGGAGCUUGCUCCUCUGACGUUAGCGGCGGACGUGUGAGUAACACGUGGAUAACCUACCUAUAAGACUGGGAUAACUUCGGGAAACCGGAGCUAAUACCGGAUAAUAUAUUGAACCGCAUGGUUCAAUAGUGAAAGACGGUUUUGCUGUCACUUAUAGAUGGAUCCGCGCCUCAUUAGCUAGUUGGUAAGGUAACGGCUUACCAAGGCAACGAUGCGUAGCCGACCUGAGAGGGUGAUUGGCCACACUGGGACUGCGACACGGUCAUUCCUGCUACUGUAGUCACGAGUCUGGAUUCUCCCGCAAUGGGCCAAAGCCUGUCUGACCAACCCCCCGUCAGUCACUAACGUCUUCCGUUCGUAAAACUCUGUUAUCAGGUAACCACACAUGUGUAUGUACCUAUGCACGUUUUGUCGGUUCCUACUCAGAAAACCACGUCUCACUACUUC